GAUUAACGCUGGCGGCGUGCCUAAUGCAUGCAAGUCGAACGUGGUCCCUUCGGGGGCAAACGUGGCGGACGGGUGAGGAACACGUGGGGAACCUGCCCAUUGGUGGGGGGUAGCCCGCGGAAACGCGGGGUAAUUCCGCAUACGCUCGCCUGGGGGUAGCCCGGGUGAGGAAAGGGUCUUUCGGGACUCGCCGAUGGAGGGGCCUGCGUCCGAUUAGCUAGUUGGUGGGGUAAUGGCCUACCAAGGCGGUGAUCGGUAGCUGGUCUGAGAGGACGGCCAGCCACAGGGGGACUGAGACACGGCCCCCACUCCUACGGGAGGCAGCAGCAAGGAGUUUUCCGCAAUGGGCGCAAGCCUGACGGAGCAACGCCGCGUGGGGGAUGACACCUUUCGGGGCGUAAACCCCUUUUCUUGGGGACGAAGCAGUGACGGUACCCGAGGAAGAAGGCCCGGCUAACUACGUGCCAGCAGCCGCGGUAAUACGUAGGGGCCGAGCGUUGUCCGGAGUUACUGGGCGUAAAGCGCGCGCAGGCGGCUCGUCAAGCCUGACGUGAAAGCCCCCGGCUCAACCGGGGAGGGUCGUCGGGGACUGGCGGGCUUGAGGUCGGCAGGGGUUGGUGGAAUUCCCGGUGUAGUGGUGAAAUGCGUAGAGAUCGGGAGGAACACCCGUGGCGAAGCGGCCAACUGGGCCGGACCUGACGCUNAGGCGCGAAAGCGUGNGGAGCGAACGGGAUUAGAUACCCCGGUAGUCCACNCAUAACGAUGCAGACUAGGCGUGGGGGGACUUGACCCCUCCGNGCCGCAGCUAACGCGUGAAGUCUGCCGCCUGGGAGUACGGCGCAAGCUAA
rnacentral:rRNA from 1 species